rnacentral:rRNA from 1 species
CGCGUAGGCGGUUUGUUUAGUUAGGCGUGAAAUUCCUGGGCUUAACCUGGGGACUGCGCUUAAUACAGGCAGACUUGAGUUCGGAAGAGGGUCGUGGAAUUCCCAGUGUAGAGGUGAAAUUCGUAGAUAUUGGGAAGAACACCGGUGGCGAAGGCGGCGACCUGGGCCGAAACUGACACUGAGGGACGAAAGCUAGGGUAGCGAAAG